UACGUAGGGGGCAAGCGUUGUCCGGAAUUAUUGGGCGUAAAGGGCGCGUAGGCGGCUAGAUGUGUCAAAGGUGAAAUCCCUCGGCUCAACUGAGGAACUGCCUUUGAAACUGUCUGGCUUGAGGCCGGGAGAGGGUAGCGGAAUUCCCAGUGUAGCGGUGAAAUGCGUAGAUAUUGGGAGGAACACCAGUGGCGAAGGCGGCUACCUGGACCGGUUCUGACGCUGAGGCGCGAAAGCGUGGGUAGCAAACAGG
rnacentral:rRNA from 1 species